rnacentral:tRNA from 1 species
GGCGGUGUAGCUCAGGGGUAGAGCGCAGCCCUCAUAAAGCUGUUGUCGGUGGUUCAAAUCCACCCACCGCCACCA